UUCUGGGAAAUGGUGUAUACCAAUUUGUAGACAAGUAUGGUGCCAAUGUGGAUGGAUACAGCCCUAUCUACAACACAGAUGACUGGUCUCCAAGUGGUGAUGUUUAUGAUGGGGGAACAGGGUUGGCAAUAUGGGCAGUAUUGAUCAUGAAGUACUAUAUUAAUUUUUUAAUAGUGUAGUUGGAAUGAGAUCAGUGAUAGAUCACAUUAAUUUUGGGAUGGUUAAUGUGCAGCCCUAUCUACAACACAGAUGACUGGUCUCCAAGUGGUGAUGUUUAUGAUGGGGGAACAGGGUUGGCAAUAUGGGCAGUGACACUAGCAAGGCUUCUUGCAGGAGGAGCUCUUCUUGUUUACAAUACAAGUGCUUUGGCACUAUAGAUUAUUCCUAUUUCGGUUUUUGUUAUGUAUGAUUUUCUGUCAAAACAGCCCAAAAUCAAUACCUUGUGUAUCCCUAGCUCUGUGUAAUUUCCCAUUUCCUAUGGAAUGGAUCCCUGAUACCUCUCAUUUACUAUCAA